rnacentral:rRNA from 7 species
UUAAGUUAGAAAGGGCGCACGGUGGAUGCCUUGGCACUAGGAGCCGAUGAAGGACGGGACGAACACCGAUAUGCUUCGGGGAGCUGUAAGCAAGCUUUGAUCCGGAGAUUUCCGAAUGGGGAAACCCACCACUCGUAAUGGAGUGGUAUCCAUAUCUGAAUACAUAGGAUAUGAGAAGGCAGACCCGGGGAACUGAAACAUCUAAGUACCCGGAGGAAGAGAAAGCAAAUGCGAUUCCCUGAGUAGCGGCGAGCGAAACGGGACCAGCCCAAACCAAGAGGCUUGCCUCUUGGGGUUGUAGGACACUCUGUACGGAGUUACAAAGGAACGAGGUAGAUGAAGAGGUCUGGAAAGGCCCGCCAUAGAAGGUAACAGCCCUGUAGUCAAAACUUCGUUCUCUCCUGAGUGGAUCCUGAGUACGGCGGAACACGUGAAAUUCCGUCGGAAUCCGGGAGGACCAUCUCCCAAGGCUAAAUACUCCCUAGUGACCGAUAGUGAACCAGUACCGUGAGGGAAAGGUGAAAAGCACCCCGGAAGGGGAGUGAAAGAGAUCCUGAAACCGUGUGCCUACAAGUAGUCAGAGCCCGUUAACGGGUGAUGGCGUGCCUUUUGUAGAAUGAACCGGCGAGUUACGAUCCCGUGCAAGGUUAAGCAGAAGAUGCGGAGCCGCAGCGAAAGCGAGUCUGAAUAGGGCGAAUUGAGUACGUGGUCGUAGACCCGAAACCAGGUGAUCUACCCAUGUCCAGGGUGAAGUUCAGGUAACACUGAAUGGAGGCCCGAACCCACGCACGUUGAAAAGUGCGGGGAUGAGGUGUGGGUAGGGGUGAAAUGCCAAUCGAACCUGGAGAUAGCUGGUUCUCUCCGAAAUAGCUUUAGGGCUAGCCUCAAGGUAAGAGUCUCGGAGGUAGAGCACUGAUUGGACUAGGGGCCCCUACCGGGUUACCGAAUUCAGUCAAACUCCGAAUGCCGAUGACUUAUCCUUGGGAGUCAGACUGCGAGUGAUAAGAUCCGUAGUCGAAAGGGAAACAGCCCAGACCGCCAGCUAAGGUCCCAAAGUAUACGUUAAGUGGAAAAGGAUGUGGAGUUGCUUAGACAACCAGGAUGUUGGCUUAGAAGCAGCCACCAUUUAAAGAGUGCGUAAUAGCUCACUGGUCGAGUGACUCUGCGCCGAAAAUGUACCGGGGCUAAACGUAUCACCGAAGCUGCGGACUGUUCUUCGAACAGUGGUAGGAGAGCGUUCUAAGGGCUGUGAAGCAAGACCGGAAGGACUUGUGGAGCGCUUAGAAGUGAGAAUGCCGGUAUGAGUAGCGAAAGAGGGGUGAGAAUCCCCUCCACCGAAUGCCUAAGGUUUCCUGAGGAAGGCUCGUCCGCUCAGGGUUAGUCGGGACCUAAGCCGAGGCCGAAAGGCGUAGGCGAUGGAUAACAGGUUGAUAUUCCUGUACCACCUCCUCACCAUUUGAGCAAUGGGGGGACGCAGGAGGAUAGGGUAAGCGCGGUAUUGGAUAUCCGCGUCCAAGCAGUUAGGCUGGGAAAUAGGCAAAUCCGUUUCCCGUGAAGGCUGAGCUGUGAUGGCGAGCGAAUUAUAGUAGCGAAGUUCCUGAUUCCACACUGCCAAGAAAAGCCUCUAGCGAGGUGAGAGGUGCCCGUACCGCAAACCGACACAGGUAGGCGAGGAGAGAAUCCUAAGGUGAUCGAGAGAACUCUCGUUAAGGAACUCGGCAAAAUGACCCCGUAACUUCGGGAGAAGGGGUGCUCUGUUAGGGUGCAAGCCCGAGAGAGCCGCAGUGAAUAGGCCCAGGCGACUGUUUAGCAAAAACACAGGUCUCUGCGAAGCCGUAAGGCGAAGUAUAGGGGCUGACGCCUGCCCGGUGCUGGAAGGUUAAGAGGAGCGCUUAGCGUAAGCGAAGGUGCGAAUUGAAGCCCCAGUAAACGGCGGCCGUAACUAUAACGGUCCUAAGGUAGCGAAAUUCCUUGUCGGGUAAGUUCCGACCCGCACGAAAGGCGCAACGAUCUGGGCACUGUCUCAACGAGAGACUCGGUGAAAUUAUAGUACCUGUGAAGAUGCAGGUUACCCGCGACAGGACGGAAAGACCCCGUGGAGCUUUACUGCAGCCUGAUAUUGAAUGUUGGUACAGCUUGUACAGGAUAGGUAGGAGCCUUGGAAACCGGAGCGCCAGCUUCGGUGGAGGCAUCGGUGGGAUACUACCCUGGCUGUAUUGACCUUCUAACCCGCCGCCCUUAUCGGGCGGGGAGACAGUGUCAGGUGGGCAGUUUGACUGGGGCGGUCGCCUCCUAAAAGGUAACGGAGGCGCCCAAAGGUUCCCUCAGAAUGGUUGGAAAUCAUUCGCAGAGUGUAAAGGCACAAGGGAGCUUGACUGCGAGACCUACAAGUCGAGCAGGGACGAAAGUCGGGCUUAGUGAUCCGGUGGUUCCGCAUGGAAGGGCCAUCGCUCAACGGAUAAAAGCUACCCCGGGGAUAACAGGCUUAUCUCCCCCAAGAGUCCACAUCGACGGGGAGGUUUGGCACCUCGAUGUCGGCUCAUCGCAUCCUGGGGCUGUAGUCGGUCCCAAGGGUUGGGCUGUUCGCCCAUUAAAGCGGUACGCGAGCUGGGUUCAGAACGUCGUGAGACAGUUCGGUCCCUAUCCGUCGCGGGCGCAGGAAAUUUGAGAGGAGCUGUCCUUAGUACGAGAGGACCGGGAUGGACGCACCGCUGGUGUACCAGUUGUUCUGCCAAGGGCAUCGCUGGGUAGCUAUGUGCGGACGGGAUAAGUGCUGAAAGCAUCUAAGCAUGAAGCCCCCCUCAAGAUGAGAUUUCCCAUUCCGCAAGGAAGUAAGAUCCCUGAAAGAUGAUCAGGUUGAUAGGUCUGAGGUGGAAGUGUGGCGACACAUGGAGCUGACAGAUACUAAUCGAUCGAGGACUUAACCAA